GACGAACGCUGGCGGCGUGCUUAACACAUGCAAGUCGAACGGGAUAAUUUGAGAGCUUGCUCUUCGAGAAUCUAGUGGCAAACGGGUGAGUAACACGUAGACAACCUGCCGACAGGAUGGGGACAACAUUCCGAAAGGAAUGCUAAUACCGAAUGAAGCGGAGGAGAGGCAUCUCUCCUCCGUGAAAGAUGGCCUCUGAAUAUGCUAUCACCUGUCGAUGGGUCUGCGUCUGAUUAGCUAGUUGGUGAGGUAACGGCUCACCAAGGCGACGAUCAGUAGCCGGUCUGAGAGGAUGAACGGCCACAUUGGGACUGAGACACGGCCCAGACUCCUACGGGAGGCAGCAGUGGGGAAUCUUCCGCAAUGGGCGCAAGCCUGACGGAGCAACGCCGCGUGAGUGAAGAAGGUCUUCGGAUCGUAAAGCUCUGUUGACGGGGACGAACGUGCGAAGGGUGAAUAAGCCUUUGUAAUGACGGUACCUGUCGAGGAAGCCACGGCUAACUACGUG
rnacentral:rRNA from 1 species